rnacentral:rRNA from 1 species
AUGGAGGCGACCAUGGUAGUAAUGGUACACGCCCUUGCCGCCAUCCUUACACUCUGGCUGAUCUCGAGGUCCCUGUGGCAUCUGGUAUGGAGGCCGUAUGCCUUCGUCGGCUGGUUUGAACGGCAGGGGAUACGAGGGCCACCUUACAGAUUCGUCCUUGGGUCUUUGUGGGAGAUGAAACAGAUGUUGAUUGCCGAGAGAGGUAGUCUGUGUCUCUUAGCGCUAUUUAAAAUGUUUGUUCAUUUGUUUGGACCAAAGUCUCUUAGCGCAAGACCUUUUGUAAACGCUAUAGCGUGCUAUAGCGGAGCUAUAGCGGGCUAUUUAAAACAGUGCGAGAACCUCAAGGUUGUUGCAACACGGUAG